rnacentral:rRNA from 1 species
CUAUGUCGGCGACCGGCGCACGGGGUGCGUAACGCGUAUGCAACCUACCCAUUACAGGGGGAUAACACUGAGAAAUCGGUACUAAUACCCCAUAACAUCCAGGGAGGCAUCUUCUUGGGUUGAAAACUCCGGUGGUAAUGGAUGGGCAUGCGUUGUAUUAGUUAGUUGGUGGGGUAACGGCUCACCAAGACAACGAUACAGUAGGGGGACUGAGACGGUUAACCCCCCACAUUGGUACUGAGACACGGACCAAACUCCUACGGAAGGCAGCAG